rnacentral:rRNA from 1 species
AUGAUGAUGACGAGCAGCUCGUCGUCCUCCUCGAACCCGACGGUGACCCGGCCCACGUCGGCGCCGUCCGGCACGUCGAACACACGGCAGAAACCCUCCACCGCCCGCCGGUGCGCCACCCGCAGCCGCGUCCCGGCGCGCGCCGCCUCCACAGCGAGCCCGGCACCGUCCUUCCGCGCGCCCACGUCGACGCGGAUCUCCCUGCCGCCGUCGCCGACGCGGACCUCGAUCGCAUCCUUGUCAUACCCUGCGCGCACGGCACGAACACGCAAGAACGUAACCAACUCAUCCGUGCUCAAGAAAGAACGGUCGGUGCGCCGCAACGGCGAGGAUGCUUAG